CUGGGACAACUUCACAUUUUGAUUUAAGCAUUUGAUAAAUAGGUUGUAUGUAUUUUUUUCUCUGCGUGUUUUUAGAUCAGCAGGUCAAAAGGUACAAGAUUGUUACUUCUAUCAAAUUUUUAUGGAAAAAAAUGAGAAAGUUGGCGUUCCCACAAUUCAGCAGUUGUUAGAAUGGUCUUUUAUCAACAGUAACCUGAAAUUUGCAGAGGCACCAUCAUGUCUGAUUAUUCAGAUGCCUCGAUUUGGAAAAGACUUUAAACUAUUUAAAAAAAUUUUUCCUUCUCUGGAAUUAAAUAUAACAGAUUUACUUGAAGACAG
rnacentral:lncRNA from 1 species